CCUACGUGGAGCAGCAGUGGGGAAUAUUGGACAAUGGGCGAAAGCCUGAUCCAGCCAUGCCGCGUGUGUGAAGAAGGCCUUCGGGUUGUAAAGCACUUUCAGUGGGGAAGAAAGCCUUGGGGCUAAUACCCUCGAGGAAGGACAUCACCCACAGAAGAAGCACCGGCUAACUCCGUGCCAGCAGCCGCGGUAAUACGGAGGGUGCGAGCGUUAAUCGGAAUUACUGGGCGUAAAGCGCGCGUAGGCGGUCUGAUAAGCCGGUUGUGAAAGCCCCGGGCUCAACCUGGGAACGGCAUCCGGAACUGUCAGGCUAGAGUGCAGGAGAGGAAGGUAGAAUUCCCGGUGUAGCGGUGAAAUGCGUAGAGAUCGGGAGGAAUACCAGUGGCGAAGGCGGCCUUCUGGACUGACACUGACGCUGAGGUGCGAAAGCGUGGGUAGCAAACAGGAUUAGAUACCCCUGUAGUC
rnacentral:rRNA from 1 species